AGCAGCCGCGGUAAUUCCAGCUCCAAUAGCGUGUAUUAAAGUUGUUGCAGUUAAAAAGCUCGUAGUUGAAUUUCGGGAUUGGCGCAUCGGUCGUGCCUUACGAGGUAUGAACUGGUGCAGUCAAUUUCUCACCUUCUGGAGAACCGCGAUGUCCUUAAUUGGGUGCCGCGGGGAACCAGGACCUUUACUUUGAAAAAAUUAGAGUGUUUAAAGCAGGCAUUUUUGCUUGAAUACAUUAGCAUGGAAUAAUAAAAUAGGACGGCAUGGUUCUAUUUUGUUGGUUUCUAGGACCACCGUAAUGAUUAAUAGGGAUAGUUGGGGGCAUUAGUAUUCAACUGUCAGAGGUGAAAUUCUUGGAUUUAUUGAAGACUAACUACUGCGAAAGCAUUUGCCAAGGAUGUUUUCAUUAAUCAAGAACGAAAGUUAGGGGAUCGAAGACGAUCAGAUACC
rnacentral:rRNA from 1 species